GUUGCCAUGUGCAUUAACAGCUGGAUUUCAAAAGGGGAAAUUCCACCAUAUUUUCAUAUUAUUGUUAUAAUUAUUAUUUUUUUUAUAUAGUGCUGACAACUUCCGCAGCGCUUCUUACAAUAUAUACAUUCAGGGUUAUGACAAAACUAGAACCGACACAAACUGAUGUUCGCAAAAUUCUACUCUAGAUAUCUUUUUUAUCAUCCCAUGAUUUUAACAAAUAUUUCACACUAAAAGCUGCAAAAAUAAUAGAUUAAUUUCUACGUCCCAACAAGCAGUGAUUAUGUCACACAGCACAGCGUACAUAAUCACCGAUAUUAUUUAAUGCAAACUAUAUCAAAAA